AUUGAACGCUGGCGGCAGGCUUAACACAUGCAAGUCGAGCGGAGAUGAGGUGCUUGCACCUUAUCUUAGCGGCGGACGGGUGAGUAAUGCUUAGGAAUCUGCCUAUUAGUGGGGGACAACAUUCCGAAAGGAAUGCUAAUACCGCAUACGUCCUACGGGAGAAAGCAGGGGAUCUUCGGACCUUGCGCUAAUAGAUGAGCCUAAGUCGGAUUAGCUAGUUGGUGGGGUAAAGGCCUACCAAGGCGACGAUCUGUAGCGGGUCUGAGAGGAUGAUCCGCCACACUGGGACUGAGAAACGGCCCAGAAUCCUACGGGAGGCAGCAGUGGGGAAUAUUGGACAAUGGGGGAAACCCUGAUCCAGCCAUGCCGCGUGUGUGAAGAAGGCCUUAUGGUUGUAAAGCACUUUAAGCGAGGAGGAGGCUACUGAGACUAAUACUCUUGGAUAGUGGACGUUACUCGCAGAAUAAGCACCGGCUGACUCUGUGCCAGCCGCCGCUGUAA
rnacentral:rRNA from 1 species